rnacentral:tRNA from 1 species
GCCGGCGUAGCUCAGUUGGUAGAGCAGCGGACUUUUAAUCCGAAGCGCCCCGGUUCGAGUCCGGGCGCCGGCA